AGUGGAGUAAGGGACAGGUAAUGAAGACGAAAACUAUGGUACGGCAACGGUUGGAUUCGGGUGAGAUCGUUCGAGACGCGCCUUCUCCAUGGCGCAGAUGUGCUGUGAGAGAUUGUGGAAUCUCGUUUGAAUCCGUUCCUCUCUGCAAUCCGUAGGCAACCGCACUUUAGUAAGCGCCAAGACUCAGGGGUGCAUAUCAUCAGCACAAAGGUAGCCUGUCAAAUGCAACAUUACAACACUGCUUAGGUCUUAUGACGUACCUGACUGUCUCCAAGUUGACGAUGACCGAAAGUUUGAGAUUGAUAGCGAAUGAAUCGCUGACCAUCUGCUGAGGUUUAUCUCCAGGG
rnacentral:lncRNA from 1 species